UACGAAGGGGGCUAGCGUUGCUCGGAAUGACUGGGCGUAAAGCGCACGUAGGCGGCUUUUUAAGUCAGGGGUGAAAUCCUGGAGCUCAACUCCAGAACUGCCUUUGAUACUGAGGAUCUUGAGUAUGGGAGAGGUGAGUGGAACUGCGAGUGUAGAGGUGAAAUUCGUAGAUAUUCGCAAGAACACCAGUGGCGAAGGCGGCUCACUGGCCCAUUACUGACGCUGAGGCACGAAAGCGUGGGGAGCAAACAGG
rnacentral:rRNA from 1 species